UGGUGACGGGAAACUCUUGACAAAUGCCUACUGUGUUGAGCAUUAUACUCAGGUUAAAGUGAAGAGAAGAGGGGAUGAUACCAAAUAUGUGGCUAAGGUUUUGGCCAGAGGUGUUGAUUGUGAUAUAGCUUUACUUUCAGUAGAAAGUGAGGAAUUCUGGAAAGGGGCAGAACCACUCCAAUUG